rnacentral:rRNA from 1 species
AGAGAUGUGUGAUGACGCAUAUCAAUAAGCGGAGGAAAAGAAACUAACAAGGAUUCCCUUAGUAACGGCGAGUGAAGCGGGAAGAGCUCAAAUUUGAAAUCUUCAAGGUUCUACCUUGACGAAUUGUAGUUUAUAGAAGUGUUUUCUGUUAGUGGAGUGGCAAAAGUUCUUUGGAAUAGGACAUCAUAGAGGGUGAGAAUCCCGUAUUUGGUCAUUCCUCCUAGCGUUGUGAUACACUUUCAACGAGUCGGAUUGUUUGGGAAUGCAGUCCAAAAUGGGUGGUAAAUUUCAUCUAAAGCUAAAUAUCGGCGAGAGACCGAUAGCGAACAAGUACCGUGAGGGAAAGAUGAAAAGAACUUUGAAAAGAGAGUUAAACAGUACGUGAAAUUGUCAAAAGGGAAGCGUUUGACACCAGUGUUGUUUUUCCGAAAAUCAAUUACGAAUGUUUUGUUUUUGAGGAGUUAUGACUUCAUCGGCUUGCUCCUUUCUUUACGAAACUUUCUUAAUGCACUUUUCGGUUAACAAGUCAACAUCAAUUUCUUUUGUUGUAAAAGGGUAUGAGGAAGGUGGCUUUCUUUUCGGAGAAAGUGUCUAUAGCCUUGUACCUCUGCAAUCGGAGAGAUUGAGGUCUGCAGCGUAGAUCCUUCGGGGUUAGAUACAUUUGUGCUAAGCUAUAGCCUUGUAUAGACAACUUGUUGACUAUGCUCAGUCAUGUAGCUUACUCGCUUAUGCUAUUUUACCUACGCUUAGGAUGUUGACAGCAGUAUAGACUGU